UGGUGGAGAGGUUAAAACAUUUGGCUGCUAACCAAAAGUUCGGUGGCUUGAACCCACC
rnacentral:tRNA from 1 species